rnacentral:rRNA from 1 species
GACGAACGCUGGCGGCGUGCCUAAUACAUGCAAGUCGAGCGGACAGAAGGGAGCUUGCUCCCGGAAGUUAGCGGCGGACGGGUGAGUAACACGUGGGCAACCUACCCUGUAGAUCGGGAUAACAUCGAGAAAUCGGUGCUAAUACCGGAUAAUCAUUUGAAGUGCAUGCUUCGAAUGUAAAAGAUGGCUCCGGCUAUCACUACGGGAUGGGCCCGCGGCGCAUUAGCUAGUUGGUAAGGUAAUAGCUUACCAAGGCAACGAUGCGUAGCCGACCUGAGAGGGUGAUCGGCCACACUGGGACUGAGACACGGCCAGAGUCCUACGGGAGGCAGCAGUAGGGAAUCUUCCGCAAUGGACGAAAGUCUGACGGAGCAACGCCGCGUGAGUGAUGAAGGUUUUCGGAUCGUAAAGCUCUGUUGUUAGGGAAGAACAAGUGCCGUUUGAAUAAGGCGGCACCUUGACGGUACCUAACCAGAAAGCCACGGCUAACUACGUGCCAGCCGCCGCAGUAAUAC